AGCCGGAUCCCAAACAACAAAUGCCGUGUGAACCCCGCCAGGUCCGGAAGGAAGCAACGGUAGCAGGGAUUUUGUGUGUUUGGUGUAUCCGGCUCUU
rnacentral:SRP_RNA from 1 species